AGCAGCAUGGCGCAGUGGUAGCGCGCGGGGCCCAUAUACAAUGUCUAUGCAACUGUCCAUGGAACCCCGAGGUCACUUGAUCGAAACAAGUUGCUGCUA